ACUAUAUCAGCCAACAGCCCUACAGGUAACACACACACACACACACCAGUACUAUAUCAGCCAACAGCCCUACAGGUAACACACACACACACACCAGUACGAUAUCAGCCAACAGCCCUACAGGUAACACACACACACACACACACCAGUACGAUAUCAGCCAACAGCCCUACAGGUAACACACACACACCAGUACUAUAUCAGCCAACAGCCCUACAGGUAACACACACACACACACACACCAGUACUAUAUCAGCCAACAGCCCUACAGGUAACACACACACACACACACACCAGUACGAUAUCAGCCAACAGCCCUACAGGUAACACACACACACACACCAGUACUAUAUCAGCCAACAGCCCUACAGGUAACACACACACACACACACACACCAGUACUAUAUCAGCCAACAGCCCUACAGGUAACACACACACACACCAGUACUAUAUCAGCCAACAGCCCUACAGGUAACACACACACACACACACACCAGUACUAUAUCAGCCAACAGCCCUACAGGUAACACACACACACACACCAGUACUAUAUCAGCCAACAGCCCUACAGGUAACACACACACACACACCAGUACUGUAGAUGCUAGGCUUAGAUAGCGGUCGUCUGUAGCUAUCGUUAGCUCUAGAUGCUAGGCUUAGAUAGCGGUCG
ensembl:lncRNA